AAAAGUGAAAAAUAAGUGUUGGGGGUUGGGAAAGGCCAUAAUGAAGAAUAUAUGCUCUUAAUAAAUGGAAAAUGAAGAGAAAAUUAAUAGAAAGAGAAAGAGAAGAAUGGAUUUGUAAUAUUUUUAUAUAAUGAUGUGGUGUAAGGAAAUUAUUGCAUAUAUAGGCAAAAGUUUUAUUAGAGUUAGUUUUAGUUGUUUUAUCAAACUAUGGCCAAGAGAGUAUUGCUAGCAAGACAAAAGCUAUGAAUAGAAAUAAGUAAGUAAAGAUGUUUAUGUAGUUUUAAAUCUUAACAUCUUACCUAAAUUUUUUCAUAGCAAAAUUAGAAAUAUUAAUAUACU
rnacentral:lncRNA from 1 species